rnacentral:rRNA from 1 species
UACGAAGAGGGCUAGCGUUGCUCGGAAUCACUGGGCGUAAAGGGUGCGUAGGCGGGUCUUUUAAGUCAGGGGUGAAAUCCUGGAGCUCAACUCCAGAACUGCCUUUGAUACUGAGGAUCUUGAGUUCGGGAGAGGUGAGUGGAACUGCGAGUGUAGAGGUGAAAUUCGUAGAUAUUCGCAAGAACACCAGUGGCGAAGGCGGCUCACUGGCCCGAUACUGACGCUGAGGCACGAAAGCGUGGGGAGCAAACAGG